rnacentral:rRNA from 1 species
AGAAUCAACGCUGGCGGCGUGCCUAACACAUGCAAGUCGCACGAGAAAGGGUAGCAAUACCUGAGUAAAGUGGCGCACGGGUGAGUAACACGUGAAUUAUCUACCUCCGAGUGGGGAAUAACUGAGAGAAAUCUUAGCUAAUACCGCAUAACACUUACGAGUCAAAGCAGCAAUGCGCUUGGAGAGGAGUUCGCGGCCGAUUAGUUAGUUGGCGGGGUAAUGGCCCACCAAGACGAUGAUCGGUAUCCGGCCUGAGAGGGCGCACGGACACACUGGAACUGAAACACGGUCCAGACUCCUACGGGAGGCAGCAGUGGGGGAAUUUUGCGCAAUGGGGGAAACCCUGACGCAGCAACGCCGCGUGGAGGAUGAAAUAUCUUGGUAUGUAAACUCCUUUCGAUGGGGAAGAUUAUGACGGUACCCAUAGAAGAAGCCCCGGCUAACUUCGUGCCAGCAGCCGC